rnacentral:rRNA from 1 species
UACGUAGGGGGCGAGCGUUGUCCGGAUUUAUUGGGCGUAAAAGGCUUGUAGGUGGCCACGCCAAGUCGGAUGUGAAAUCUCCCGGCUCAACUGGGAGGGGUCAUUCGAUACUGGCGGGCUCGAGGCCGGUAGGGGGAAGCGGAAUUCCCGGUGUAGUGGUGGAAUGCGUAGAUAUCGGGAGGAACACCAGUGGCGAAGGCGGCUUCCUGGACCGGCAUUGACGCUGAGGAGCGAAAGCCAGGGGAGCAAACGGG